GCCGAUAUAAUCAGGACAUGGACGCCUCGUUCCAAUCCAGAGCUGCUACGCGUGCGUUUUCCUCCGAACCCUACAUCCCCAAUUCACAGCCCAACGAAGCGGCGCCUCCCACCCUUUGCCCAGCAGCGCGGAAUCUGUCGGGACGAACUGAUCAAUCUUAAGGAUCGGAAAGAUGCAGAAAGCAAAAGGGUGAGUGAUCCCACAAAAAGCUUGAGAAAGGAGCAAAGCGCUACAAAAAAAAGAAUAAAUGUGGGAGCGGUCGCAAAAGAGGCAGGAAAGGACACCUGUUUAUAAUGGAAGAGAGUAUCAGGCUUCGGGAGGAGAUGAAUGCUACUUGUUAUAAACAAUUUGGCAACUCAUUGCCUGAUCGAGAUGUUUCCAACACUAAGUUUGAAGAACAACAGUUUGGUAGUGUGUACGAAUGUGGUCAAGAACACUGGUGCCAACUCUGUAAAGAAGUAACUUCACGUUUGUCUGACAGAGUUGACUCGCUUGCUUUGUUCGAUGGCGAUGAGAUGUUAUUUGCAUGCACGGGCAUAGUUCUGCCACGCGGGACAUCAAGACUGGGUCUAGCAAGAUUCCUGACUUCAUCGAGUUUGGUUACAGUCUUUAAUCACAAGAGAAACAAGGAUGAUAAACUUUGGGUUGCAGUGCGCCUUCUAACAAAAAAAUUAUACUUGGGAUCUUAGGACUAUAUGAUAAAUACAUCGCCAUAGUUACUUGCCCAGGCUUCCAGCUUGUCAGUCCUUUAAAUAUGUAUCAGGAGACUGAUCUGGCUGAUGAUCCGAUGAUGGUAGCUGCCAGACGUGCCUACGAAUCAUGCAGUUUGAUGGGCACGAUUGGAGGGCUGACUGAUGCUCCUAUAGGUGUUGAUUAUGAAGAUCUCUCGGCCUCAACCUGUCAGAUCACAGAGGCGGGACUUGGAGGGCCACUUGUUGAUCUUACUGGAAAGUUUGUUGGGGUGAACAUUUGUUUUGAUAGUGACACGGGAAAGCCUUUGUUUCUACCAUGGAUGUUACUUCGCCAACGCUUGGAGCAAUGUGAGAUUUCCAAUCGAAGUGAUGUGAGGAGGAAAAUCACCAGUCAGGAUGUCGCAGGGCUCGUGCUCCUCUUCAGUGAAGGUGUUGCUUACGGUGGAUGACAUUUCUACUAAUCAACUGGCUACUCUUCCGCUGAUCGGCUGUCCAGCCUGCCCAAACCCCCCGAAGGUUAGCUUGGGCGUAUCGGGGACACCGGCUAACCCGAAGGCACAUUAUGUGAUUUGUGAGAAUUAUAAUAUUGUGGACCCUGACAUGAAGAUUGACUUCCUCUAUUUUGAAUUUAUGCUUUUUAUAUUGUGAAAUAAAUGUCAAAUUAUGUGAUGUUUGUUUUACAUGUACCGUAGAAAAAGAUGUGCAAGUUCUUCAAGUGGCUGCUUACAUAUGGGGAGUUUCUGACCGAGCGUCACAUUCCUGCCCCCUUUUAUCUUCGUACAAUUGAAGAUCUUCAUAUGAAAAAAGUGGAGAGCAAUGUGAACCAACAGUAGGAGCAUCGCUUUCCUGUCCCCAAUGUGCAAAUCAGGGAUCAUAUUGAGGAAAUCAAGAGGCUCAACAAGGAUCUAGAUGAAGAGAGAUGCAAGAGGGGUAUGGAGCAACAAGUGAAUAAUGCAAGAUUUCAUAUGCUGGAGAAUGAGGUAAAAGGAAGAGGAAUGGGGUGAUUUAGCCUGUUUUUGUGGUUCCUUUCGGUUUUCCUGCUAUGUUUGUUGGUGGGGCGAUGGAAUUUGGGAAGAGCAAAUAGACUUUUAGUGUAGUAUAUUUCACCAGACUUUUAGUGUCUCCUGGAUUUAUGUAAUGAAGUGUCACCGACUGGCUAAUUUAAGUAGUACUA